UACGUAGGGGGCAAGCGUUGUCCGGAUUUAUUGGGCGUAAAGAGCGUGUAGGCGGCCAGGUAGGUCCGUUGUGAAAACUCGAGGCUUAACCUCGAGACGUCGAUGGAAACCAUCUGGCUAGAGUCCGGAAGAGGAGAGUGGAAUUCCUGGUGUAGCGGUGAAAUGCGUAGAUAUCUGGAGGAAUACCGGUGGCGAAGGCGGCAUCCUGGACCGGCAUUGACGCUGAGUGAGCGAAAGCUAGGGGAGCAAACGGG
rnacentral:rRNA from 1 species